CGGUGAGUAAUACAUCGGAACGUGUCUUCUAGUGGGGGAUAACUGCCCGAAAGGGCAGCUAAUACCGCAUGAGACCUGAGGGUGAAAGCGGGGGAUCGCAAGACUUCGCGCUGGAAGAGCGGCCGAUGUCCGAUUAGCUAGUUGGUGAGGUAAAGGCUCACCAAGGCGACGAUCGGUAGCUGGUCUGAGAGGACGACCAGCCACACUGGGACUGAGACACGGCCCAG
rnacentral:rRNA from 1 species